rnacentral:tmRNA from 1 species
AUCCUUGAAAUCUUAACGAUUUUAUCCUAUAUUAGAGAUGCGGGCCUUCGGGCCCGUUAUGACGCUAAACGUGAGUACGGAAUAAGCGUCGUGGACCCGGGGGCAGUGCCCGGCAGCUCCACCAAAUUCGCUUCUUUCAUGAGAGGCAAAUGCGGCGGGGCUGAAACAGGAUCGACACGCGUGGUAAAGGUAUAUUGCGGCGUUCGGAAUGAUACCGCCGGGGUUUUUCCCGCAGGGUCAAGCAUCACAAAUGCUAACGAUAACUUCAAAGUCGUAGCAGCCAACGACAACUCGUUUGACGCUGGCCUCGCAGUAGCCGCCUAAUUUUAGGUCGCAACUGUAGCUACAAAACAAUCCCUGUUGCCUAGACAGUAACAGGUGGGGUUCGGGCGGUUCCUCGCAACAGAAUACCGCCCACU